rnacentral:rRNA from 1 species
GAUGAACGCUGGCGGCGUGCCUAAUACAUGCAAGUCGAGCGAACGGACGAGAAGCUUGCUUCUCUGAUGUUAGCGGCGGACGGGUGAGUAACACGUGGAUAACCUACCUAUAAGACUGGGAUAACUUCGGGAAACCGGAGCUAAUACCGGAUGAUAUUUUUAACCGCAUGGUUCAAAAGUGAAAGAUGGUCUUGCUGUCACUUAUAGAUGGAUCCGCGCUGCAUUAGCUAGUUGGUAAGGUAACGGCUUACCAAGGCAACGAUGCAUAGCCGACCUGAGAGGGUGAUCGGCCACACUGGAACUGAGACACGGUCCAGACUCCUACGGGAGGCAGCAGUAGGGAAUCUUCCGCAAUGGGCGAAAGCCUGACGGAGCAACGCCGCGUGAGUGAUGAAGGUCUUCGGAUCGUAAAACUCUGUUAUUAGGGAAGAACAUAUGUGUAAGUAACUGUGCACAUCUUGACGGUACCUAAUCAGAAAGCCACGGCUAACUACGUG